rnacentral:rRNA from 1 species
ACGUAGGGGGCGAGCGUUAUCCGGAUUCAUUGGGCGUAAAGCGCGCGCAGGCGGCCCGCCAAGCGGCCUCGUCGAAGCCGGGGGCUCAACCCCCGGAAGCGACCCGAACUGGCGGGCUCGAGUGGGGCAGGGGAGGAUGGAAUUCCCGGUGUAGCGGUGAAAUGCGCAGAUAUCGGGAGGAACACCGACGGCGAAGGCAGCCCUCUGGGCCUUCACUGACGCUGAGGCGCGAAAGCUGGGGGAGCGAACAG